rnacentral:miRNA from 1 species
UCCUCCUUCGCGGGGUGCUUGA